UCGCAGUCAUCUUGACAACGGCCACC
rnacentral:sRNA from 1 species